CAUAGAAAUGUAUCUGUAUGCAGAAUAACAAAUGAGAUGCUAGAACUUACGGGAAUUUUUUGACUGGCUUUACUCUCCAAAGUGGUCUGUUGAUCUGAGUGCUCAGUAUUUCUGUACAUAGCUCUUUUAUGUUCUGAUGUGUAUAGUGCACAAAUUAACUUUUCAUUCAGGACGUGUAUUUCUAGGCACAUCCCGGGUAUGGAAAUCCUUUGGGCUACAUGCUGGAAGUGAGGCCCAGUUUCUGUGGCACGCUGCCACAUCUCUUUUGAUUAGGAAGCUAACGGCUGGAUAACUUCUGAAAACAGGAAGAGAUGUGUGGGAAAGCUUCCAACACUGAUCGCAAAAUGGCUGCCGCUUCACCUCACUUGCAGCAGUCUGGAAGCCAACAAGAACAGGAAAAGCAUUUUGGUGAAGGACUUCAGCUGGCUGAGCACACCAAGUGGGAUGUUUCAUUGGGAAAGAAAAAGGGAUAAAGGAAAGGCUUCUCAAGACCUCUGAAUGGAGGUAAGGAAAGCUGGAAAUGGUGUUGAGAUUCCCACCAACUGACAUUAUAUAAAGGCAGGAGGUCUUAGGGAAGAUCUAGUUCAGCUCUUGAUCUGAAGUCACUGAGGAGAGAAUGGAUCAGAAGGAGUUUGGAUUUAGGUGAAGUGUCAAUAGGAUCAUCAAUAGGCAGAGAAACAGGAGAAUAUUAUAGGGUACAUAAAGGCACUUCUAAUUUGUAAUCAUUAGAUUGCCAAGCUGCAUUGCAGCUGAGUAGUAGUGUGCCUGCAGAAAAAAUGAUGUGGAUGGAAGUAGAGAGCUAGCAGAAAUCCUUUCUGCAUCAGUGCCCUGGAGUUUACCCAGCUUGUAUAGCUGUGUAGAGCUGAAGUUCUGUUUUUAAUAGCAAGAUGAACCCAAGUAUCAGUUAAAUAUGAAUUAACCUGUCUACUACCCAGUACACAUGUAAUUCUUGUGUACUGACAUGAAGGCAAGCUAGGGAAAAAACACAGUUACUGACCUAGUACAGGUGACAAAAAGAGUUGCGACUGUACUUGCAGUCUUUUAAAUGGUAAGAACUGUUACUAAUUUGCAUUAUUUAUAGUCCAGUUUCCCCUAAAGUUUUCAAUGAGAAUUAAUGUAAAAGAUUUUGUAAAAAUAUUCAUUAAGUAGAGACAAUUCAAUUUAGAAGACUGGUUAAAUUAAUUUUACCUUGAAUACUAUGCUCCCAAAUCCCCAUAAAAUUUAAUCUUCAGUUACAAUAGAAGGUGAUUUUUGGAAAAACAUUUUGCAUUCUUCAUGUGAAAACAUACUAUUUCAUUUAUCUUUAUCUCCUCUUUUGACUGUACAGUUUCUUGUACCUUCAAAAAGUGACAAUAGUAAUUGCAAAUGUUCAGGCCAGAGUCAGAAGACAAAACAACAUAUAAUUUCUACUGU
rnacentral:lncRNA from 1 species